GUAGUCAUAUGCUUGUCUCAAAGAUUAAGCCAUGCAUGUCUAAGUAUAAGCAAUUAUACAGCGAAACUGCGAAUGGCUCAUUAUAUAAGUUAUCGUUUAUUUGAUAGUACCUUACUACUUGGAUAACCGUGGUAAUUCUAGAGCUAAUACAUGCUAAAAAUCCCGACUUCGGAAGGGAUGUAUUUAUUAGAUUAAAAACCAAUGCCCUUCGGGGCUCCUUGGUGAUUCAUGAUAACUCCUCGAAUCGCAUGGCCUUGUGCCGGCGAUGGUUCAUUCAAAUUUCUUCCCUAUCAACUUUCGAUGUUUGGGUAUUGGCCUAACAUGGUUGCAACGGGUAACGGGGAAUGGGGCGGGGGCGGCGGGCCGGGCGCGGGGCGCGGCGGGCG
rnacentral:rRNA from 1 species